CGCGGCCUAUCAGCUUGUUGGUGAGGUAACGGCUCACCAAGGCAUCGACGGGUAGCUGGUCUGAGAGGACGAUCAGCCACACUGGGACUGAGACACGGCCCAGACUCCUACGGGAGGCAGCAGUAGGGAAUCUUGCGCAAUGGGCGAAAGCCUGACGCAGCAACGCCGCGUGGGGGAUGAAUGCCUUCGGGUUGUAAACCCCUUUCAGCAGGGACGAAAAUGACGGUACCUGCAGAAGAAGCUCCGGCCAACUACGUGCCAGCAGCCGCGGUAAUACGUAGGGAGCGAGCGUUGUCCGGAAUUAUUGGGCGUAAAGAGCUCGUAGGCGGUUCAGUAAGUCGGGUGUGAAAACUCAAGGCUCAACCUUGAGACGCCACUCGAUACUGCUGUGACUUGAGUCCGGUAGAGGAGUGUGGAAUUCCUGGUGUAGCGGUGAAAUGCGCAGAUAUCAGGAGGAACACCAGCGGCGAAGGCGGCACUCUGGGCCGGUACUGACGCUGAGGAGCGAAAGCAUGGGGAGCAAACAGGAUUAGAUACCCUGGUAGUCCAUGCCGUAAACGUUGGGCACUAGGUAUGGGAUCAUAUCAACGGACUCCGUGCCGUAGCUAACGCAUUAAGUGCCCCGCCUGGGGAGUACGG
rnacentral:rRNA from 1 species